rnacentral:rRNA from 1 species
UACGAAGGGGACUAGCGUUGUUCGGAUUUACUGGGCGUAAAGCGCGCGUAGGCGGAUCACUAAGUCAGGGGUGAAAUCCCGAGGCUUAACCUCGGAACUGCCUUUGAUACUGGAGAUCUGGAGAUCGGGAGAGGUUGGUGGAAUUCCGAGUGUAGAGGUGAAAUUCGUAGAUAUUGGGAAGAACACCGGUGGCGAAGGCGGCUCACUGGCUCGUAACUGACGCUCAGGCACGACAGCGUGGGGAUCAAACAGG